GAGUUUUGAAGGCAACAAAUCUGGCAUGAAAUUCCAGUGUGGCCACUGGGCUUAGGGCAAAUUCUUUAUCUGCAGAACCAGGGUGGUAACAGCCACCUCAAAGAGUGAUUAAAAGACAGAAUGAGUGGAAGAUGAAGAGAAAGGUCAUCCUGGCACACAAGUGCCUCAUCAAAUACAGGUUUCUUUCAAUAUCACCCAUAAACAAUGUUAACCUCAAAUCUAGGUAUCUUUUGUCAAAAGGAACUUUCCCCAAAUCUUGCUCCAUCCCUGGACUCAGCAUAGCUCUAGUUUCCAGGUUGUGAUACCACUCGACGCAUCAGAAAUCCACCGGAGACGUGUUAACUUGGCUCUGCCCCA
rnacentral:lncRNA from 1 species